CUCUCCUCCCCCUCCUCUCCUCCUCCUCUCCCUCUCCUCCCCCUCCUCUGCUCCUCCUCUCCUCCCUGCUGCUUUUCUUAGUACUGCUGACGGAAAUAGAAGCUGUCAGUUUGGAUCAGGAUCCCACUCCAGUAACAACAGUAGAAUGCCAUAAUAUUAAUUAUAAACAUUACAUUUGGAUAUUGUCUUUCAAUAGAGAGAUAAAAAGUAAAUAUCCAAAUGUAAAUGUUUAUUAUUAAAAUCAUGAAUUUGAUGUUCUAUUUAUAGGGCCAGGAUCCAACUGCAGUAACCCUCCAUGCCGAGGCACCUGCUGCUACAGACAGAUACUGAGAGACUGAGAUGGUGAGAGAGAUACAGAGAGAGAACAGGGGAGGGGAAAUAAACAACAGAAAGAACAGAACGAGUGUUUUUGUGUGAUGCUUUCACACUGUGGGGACAGGGGGCCACGGUGAUAUAUUUACAUAGAGACGCCGUACAAAAACCUCCUACCAUUCACUUCCAUACAGGGCAGGUCUGGGGCCUAUUCACAUACUACUACAGACUGUCAAGGAGUCUGGAGAGAUGUUUUGAUAAUACUGAAGGAUAAAACAAGAUUUCAACCAGUCUUCAGGAUUAUAAAAUCUGCUUUAUUGGGAGCAUUUUCCUAGACAAAACAACAAACUUAUGGAGUCAGAUUUAGUUCCAUAAGGGAGUUGGUUUGAUUCAUGUUUGACCACAAAAUCUCCUCAAAUGUUUUGCUGAACUCAGUAGUUAUUUUUAGAGUAUCUCUGAGUAUCUCUGAGUAUCUCUGUUCAUAUUCCCUUGAGGCUGAAUGACAAAAAAGAUCUGAGGUAUUUUUGGAAGAGGAGGAAAACGAUGUGACACUGGAAGUGAGGCCUACUUUGGGAAUGGAACCAAACUCACUGUUUUAGGUAAGUUCACUUCAGAUGAACGACAUUGAUAUAGAUCUGUAACCCUGGAGAUGUUUGAUUAGUGUCUCUGAUUCAGCUGAACUAAAUGGUUGAUGUGAAAACACUGUGACUUCAAACCAACCAGCCUUCUUUGGCAAUGGAACCAAACUCACUGUUUUAGGUAAAUACUUCCUAAUUGAUUUACUUACUGUACCUGACAAUGUUAUGUUUCUGGAUCUAAUAGUUCAUUUGAACAAUUGGCA
rnacentral:lncRNA from 13 species